UACGAAGGGGGCUAGCGUUGUUCGGAUUUACUGGGCGUAAAGGGCUCGUAGGCGGCCAACUAAGUCGGACGUGAAAUCCCUCGGCUCAACCGGGGAACUGCGUCCGAUACUGGAUGGCUUGAGUUCGGGAGAGGGAUGCGGAAUUCCAGGUGUAGCGGUGAAAUGCGUAGAUAUCUGGAGGAACACCGGUGGCGAAGGCGGCAUCCUGGACCGAUACUGACGCUGAGGAGCGAAAGCCAGGGGAGCAAAGCGGG
rnacentral:rRNA from 1 species